UGGGCAACCUGCCCUCAGCUCUGGGAUAACUCCGGGAAACCGGGGCUAAUACCGGAUACGACCUUCCCUGGCAUCGGGGGAGGUGGAAAGUUCUUCGGCUGAGGAUGGGCCCGCGGCCUAUCAGCUUGUUGGUGGGGUGACGGCCUACCAAGGCGACGACGGGUAGCCGGCCUGAGAGGGCGACCGGCCACACUGGGACUGAGACACGGCCCAGACUCCGUACGGGAGGCA
rnacentral:rRNA from 1 species